GUGUUGUUUGGUAUUAUAUUCUGAUUUAUGAGAAAAUUCAAGGUCUAAAAGCAACACUAAAGUGAAGAAAAGCAAGAGAGAUACGUACUGAGUGGAACGAGGAGAAAAAAUAUUGAGUAAAAUAACGAUCUCUGAGAUAGAAGUCGUAAUCAUAUUUAGAAGGUGACGUCAGGAACGAUUCCGAGCUCCUUAAAAGCGGCGGGACAUUCAGCUGACGGCGUCUUAACCAUGAAACCGAGAGGGUUAACGAUACGUGUCUCGUGAGAGACGAUACCGUCAUUUGCCGUCAGGCUAACCUUAGCGGCGUUACGUAAGUAAGCAUCUUGGCUGACGUCACUGCAAGCACUGUCAGGUGACUGGAGGAGAACGAGCUCGCA